UAGUUGAGUUUUUUGCACCUUGGUGUGGUCAUUGUCAAGCUCUGACACCCGCAUGGGAAAAGGCAGCUACCAUAUUGAAAGGUGUUGCCACGGUUGCAGCUCUUGAUGCUGAUGCUCACAAAUCCCUGGCGCAGGAAUAUGGAAUCAGAGGAUUUCCUACCAUCAAGGUGUUUGCACCUG